rnacentral:rRNA from 1 species
GUGCACGCUGGCGGUAGGCCUAACACAUGCAAGUCAAACGGCAGCACAGUAAGAGCUUGCUCUUACGGGUGGCGAGUGGCGGACGGGUGAGGAAUACAUCGGAAUCUACUUUUUCGUGGGGGAUAACGUAGGGAAACUUACGCUAAUACCGCAUACGACCUACGGGUGAAAGCAGGGGAUCUUCGGACCUUGCGCGAUUGAAUGAGCCGAUGUCGGAUUAGCUAGUUGGCGGGGUAAAGGCCCACCAAGGCGACGAUCCGUAGCUGGUCUGAGAGGAUGAUCAGCCACACUGGAACUGAGACACGGUCCAGACUCCUACGGGAGGCAGCAGUGGGGAAUAUUGGACAAUGGGCGCAAGCCUGAUCCAGCCAUACCGCGUGGGUGAAGAAGGCCUUCGGGUUGUAAAGCCCUUUUGUUGGGAAAGAAAAGCAGCAGGUUAAUACCCCGCUGUUCUGACGGUACCCAAAGAAUAAGCACCGGCUAACUUCGUG